UGAGGAAUAUUGGUCAAUGGGCGAGAGCCUGAACCAGCCAAGUAGCGUGCAGGAUGACGGCCCUAUGGGUUGUAAACUGCUUUUAUGUGGGGAUAAAGUGCGUGACGUGUCAUGCAUUGCAGGUACCACAUGAAUAAGGACCGGCUAAUUCCGUGCCAGCAGCCGCGGUAAUACGGAAGGUCCGGGCGUUAUCCGGAUUUAUUGGGUUUAAAUGGAGCGUAGGCCGUUUGGUAAGCGUGUUGUGAAAUGUAGGAGCUCAACUUCUAGAUUGCAGCGCGAACUGUCAGACUUGAGUGCGCACAACGUAGGCGGAAUUCAUGGUGUAGCGGUGAAAUGCUUAGAUAUCAUGAAGAACUCCGAUUGCGAAGGCAGCUUACGGGAGCGCAACUGACGCUGAAGCUCGAAGGUGCGGGUAUCGAACAGG
rnacentral:rRNA from 1 species